GAGCUCUCUCCUCCAGCCUUCUAAUUCUUGGAGCAAGUCCACACACAAAGUCUUGGGCUUUACGCCCAUCAGCUGAAAGUCCGGUUAGGUCCUUCACCUUCCAUCUGUCAACCAGGUACUCUACUAUAUCAGCAUAGUCCUUGGCAGUGUAAACCCCAAGUCUUUGGGCAACAGCUGAGUAGUGGUCGAAAAGGGUGUCAUCUCGGCCAUCAUAGAUGAACUCGGCUGGCAUGGUGAUUUUCUUCCUCAUCAUGUCAGCAAAGGCCAGGACUGUUUCAUCAGGAUCAAUUUCAAAGAGCUUUUCAACAAUUUUGGUGUAUGCAGUCUCAUGACGCUUUUCAUCUGAUGCAAUGCUACCACAAAUUUGAGCCAAAUUCAUGUCCCCGUGCUCCUUGGCAAGCCUGGCUGUAUUUGCAUGGGAGAUGAAAGUUGCCCUUUCUUGGAAUGUUGUGUAGAUGAAUCCUCGAUAUGGACUAUUCUCUGUAUGGGGAUCCUACAAAUAUACAGAAGAAAACUUAAAAAAUUGAUCAAUAGGGCAAAAAGAGCUCAGUUUAACACCGUCGGAUUGUAACCAUAUACAAUGGCAUCUUUCAUGUUUGCUUUUGAGUGAAAAGUAAUUAAAUGUCAAUAAUCCUCCAAAAUUGCACUCCUUAACGAUGGUAAAAGAGUAAGACCUCAUUAGGGGACACUUUUACAAAAAUUUAGUGAAAUUCCAAAUGUGAAGUUGCGCAAUGUUAAUAUGCUUCAUUUUCACAAGGUUUUACCCCAAAUUAGAAGAUGAAAAGAAACAAAAAGAAAGGCGAACAUGACUUUGAAGAACUAUGUCCAUGGGUUUUCUCCGCCCUCCACGCACAAAGAAAACACUACCAAAAGACUAAAGAAAAUAGAACUUAUACUGUCUUAGAGACUGCAAUAUGCUGUCCAUCAAUGAACUGCAAAGGAUUCAAUAUAGUUCUGCACAUUAAACGACGAGAAGUGAGUCAAUUGUGUCGCAAGCAUCUUACCAUUCCUGAUCCAAUCAAAUACUGGAUUGUCUUCUCAACUUGCCUCAUGUCCACUCUUCCAGACAAGUAGAGAUACUUAUUAAGUAGAUCACCAUGCCUGUUUUCUUCUGCCGUCCAUGCCCUCGUCCAAAUUGCCCAAGGAGUAAGGCUAGCACCUGUUUCAUCACAAGUUCCAUCUAAGGUAUUGAGCAUUGUUUGGUAAGUUGGAAGGGCUUCCUCUGUGAUCAUAUCACCAACCAAUACAACAUAGUAAUCAUCUGGAAUCUCCUUUGCCCUUUGCCUAAGUUCUUUGACUUGCUCCUCAAAUCCAUCCGAAUUUGGAUCAGGGAGAAAAUCCUGGGGUUGCCAACAUUUUUCAACUGGUUUGAGAUGAGUUAGAAUGUUCUUCUCAGCCCAGUUCUCCAAAGAUUUAAAGAUCUCAAUCUUCUGAGGUGGCAUGGAGUGGGUGACCUGACCAUGCACCUCCCUAGGAGGCAUGAAAGGCUUUUUGAGAUUUUCAACUUCUCUGCAUUAUGUAAAAUGAAUUUGAAACUACAUUCUCAUAGAUCAGAUAUAUCAGUAAGGAUUAAAAGGCAACAACAAAUUAUAAAAGCACAAAUCCCAUCUCACAAAUUGGGCUACUGCAUGUUCCAGGUAUCCAGCACAUGAAAACUAUAAAGCAAGGUAUAAUGGAAUAUGCAAUAGCAAUGUAAUUAGACAGCUUUAUGUGUUCACAAAAAGAAAAGCAGUUCUGCACCAAAAAAAAAAAAAAGGAACAGCAGCUUUAUUAUGUGUAACAUACCCUAUGCCACUACUUACACUACCAGACUUAAUUUCAUUAAUGGAGUCAAUUAGUUACUUGGCUGUAAAGUAUAAUUCAAUUUAGAAGGAAAAUACUUUGUUGUUAACGGUGCAAUUAAUGUACAGCCACCAGAAAUGACCAAUACCAGGAAGAAAACUCAAGGAAAAUUAUUUACAUGUUCUUUUUCUAGUACAUGAAUAUUUUGCUAUGACUCAAAAUUUGCAAGGAAAUAAUAAAAUAUCCUUGAACGAUAAAUGGAAGUGAAGAAUGUUGGAAGUAUCAGCCAAAUAAUCUGUUGAUUAAAGUGUUAACAUAAAGUAGAUUCAAAGACGAAACAGAAGCACCAUCAAUAAAUUGUGCAAGAAAUUAUAAAAGACAAAGUUUAAAAAAUUAUCAACCAUGAGAAACAUUUUAUUCUGUUUAAAAACCAGACCUAAAAACCAAAAAAAGGAUGAGAAUAACAGAGAACUGAGGACUCAGGACAACAUAUUCUGAACUACUUCUACCAAAUGCAAUAUUCUUUUAAAAAUAUAGAUUCAACAAUAUUGCAAAAAAAGUAACAUGAGAUUACUUAAAGGAAAAGAAAAAGGAAAGCCUUGUUACCUAUCAACAUGUCUAGAGAAUCUAAACCACUUCCACCAACUUGAAACAAAGAAAAAUGGAAUAGAAGGAAAUAUAGUUGGAAAAAGUUUUAGAAAAAAAAAUCAGCUAAUAAAAUGUAAUUACACCAGAUAAAUGAACCAAAAAUGAAAAUAUCAUUUUGUGUGGAGACCCAAGAUUUGAAAUUGAAUAAAAACACAGAAGGCACAGUGAUAUAGCAGAAACAAUCUCAUAUAGCAUGGAAACCCCAAGAGCAUAUGCAGAGACAGGCAUGGAUUAAGAUCAUAAGACAUCACCAAACAAAAGAGAGGUCUUGAAAGCCAUGUCAGAUAGCAAAAAUAACAAAAACCCAGAUCCAAAAUCAGCUAUAAGUAAAGAAAGAUCCAUGAUUUCACAAGAAAACAAUGAAUAAAAAGUAAACAAAAAAAAAAAAAAAAGACACUAACUUGGAGCCAGAAGGAAGAGUGGAGACCAUGGAAACCUUGGGAGAUCUGAGGCUGGCCUUUGGUGUAAGACCAAAAGAAUGGAGUUUCUGAGAUUGUGAGGCAAAGGGAUUGAAUUUCAAAGCCAUUUUUUUUUCCUUUUCGCUUUAGGGUUUUUUUGGUUUUAAGACUCCCUCCGCUUUUGUUAUUGUUUUGGUUUCACAUCUUAUAUUUCCUCCACAAAAGAAAGACAGCCCAGGAUAUUUACUGGGUGCCACUUUAACAUAUUAGCCUUAACUUUUGUUUUAAUUACAGAUUGCCCACGCAUCUAUUCAUGUUAUUAUUCCUCUCUUAAAUUUUUCUCAUAUCCGCUAACUGGCAACCGUCACAAUAACUCUUCUUUAAAAUCAGCCUUUGUGAGUCAACAGAUAGUUGACUAAACUUUAAUUUAUUAUAUUUAAAUUAAUUAAAAAAUAAUAAAACAAAAUUUAAAAUCCUUUAAUACUAAAAAUAUAAACUAACGAAGAUUUUGAUAAACUAUUCAUAAAUUAAGAGUGUAAACCAAUAAAUUUUUGAUAAAUUUUUUAUAAAUAUAUUUUAUUUUUUAAGUAUAUUUAUUAAAUUUAAUAAUCAAUCUUAACAAUAUUUUUCAUAUUCAUUUAUUAAAUAAAUCUAACACAAAUAAGAGUUUGUCUGAUUUAUUUAUAUUUAUUAAUAAAUUUAUUUAAAUUUCAUUUAUUUAUUUUGUUUAUUAUUUAUUUGUUGUUUAUUUUUAAUAAUAUUAACAAAAUUAUAUUUUUAUCUUUUAUUUUAAUUUAAUUUAAUUUAUUUAAAUUUAUUUAUUAUUUAUUAACAUGUUUAUUUAUAUUAUUUAUUUAAUAAUCAUGAAUAAAUUCAUUUAAUUUUAUUAAAUUAAAUAUAAAUAAAACAUAAAUAUUUUAAUAAUUAAAAGAAUCAAAUUUAAAUGAAUAAAAUAAUUUUUUUAUCAAAUAUAAACUGAAUUCAAAUAUGUUUAAAAAUAAAUAAAUAAAUCACGUAAAUAUAUAAUAUUCGUUCGAUAAUUUAUAAUUAGGUAAUCAUUUUCGGUCCUAUUUAAUACUAAUUAAAAAAAAGUUUUCUUAUUAUAAAACAAACAAUAUAGAUGAUUUUGGGAUUUUUAUGAAUGUCAGCCGGCAAAGUCCAACACCAAUUUUUUAAAAUGUUUUUUGUUUGUCUUGUCCUUGUACUUAACAAACGAUGAAGAUGAAAUGGGACGUCUGUUCCUUGCCAGCUGGUGUCGUCCCAAUAUAAUCUCUUUAAAAAUAAUUUUUUUAUUAAAUAAAUAGUUUUGAGCCUCUCUAGAAUGUCUUAAAUAAAAGUAUUUAAUGUCUUCCUAAUCUUAGCCUUUAAUGGUUAAGUUACAUUGAUGAAAGCAUGUAGACGAAAAUUUUAAUUCCGUCAUCUUUUCUAAUUUUGCUUUUUUAUAAAUCAAUAUAUAUGUGUUAAAUAAGUAUUCGAUGAAAAUUAUAUAUUAUAAUUAAUAUUAAUAUAAAAAAUAUAAAUAUAUAUUUUAAAUUUUAUUAAAAUUAUAUAUAAUUUUUACAAUAAUUUUAAUUUUAUAAUUUUUAAUUUUUUAAAAUUAUUUUUAUAACAUAUCAUCAAAUUAUAUUUUAAAUUAUUAUAUUUUUCUUAUCAAGUCAUGUUUCGAUAUAUUUCUUUAAAAAAUAAUUUUUUUAUUAAAUGAAUAGUUUUGAACCUCAUUUAUAUAUGGGAAUAGUAGAUACGUAUUAAGUACAAAAAUUAAAUAAGUAAUGGAUGGCUCAACGACUCGUCAAAGAUACUUAUUGAAUGAAUGAAUUUAAUCACAUUAAUCAUUUUUUUAAAAAUAUAUUAUAUAUACGUAACAAUUAUAUAAAAUAUUAUUAAUAAUUAAUAUAUUUAUAUCGUAUUUUAUAUAAAAAUUAUAUAUUAUUAUUAGUGUGACUAAAAAAAUAUAAAAUAUAUUUUUUAUUUUUAUAAAAUUUAUAUAUAAAAUUUUAAUAAUUUUAAUUAUGUUCUUGUUAUAUAAUUUUUAUAUUAUUUUUAAAAUAUAUUAUUAUAUUUUAUUUUAAAUUAUCAAAUUUAAUAAAUUUCAUUCACGUAAAAAUUUUAUAAUCAAUUGAAGAAAAGUAAAAUUAAAAAUGCAUGCAUGUAUAAAUUAAGUGUUCAACACCUCACACACUAUUCAAAAAUUAUAGCAAAAAUGUUAAUGGACCGACAAUUAAAGAUGCAGUCGAUGGAUAAUCACCAUAAGGAAAAUUAUUUUAAAUGUGCUCCUAUGUUUCCACUACAUGCAUAUAUAAUUUAUUUAAUUUUAGUUGUUAUUAAUCUAUUUGAGUAUAAUAUUAAAUUAAAAAAUGUUUUAAAAACGCACUUUGCGGGAAAGAAAAAUUCAUAGUUCAUUUUCAUCGAGCUUUAACUUUUUAUAAUAAAUUUAUAACAUUGUAUAUUUGUGUUAUAUAAAAUAUUAAUAAAUUUAUAUAUUUAUAUUAUAUUUUAAAUAAAAAUUAUAUAUUACAAUUUAUAUUUACAUGAAUAAUUUAAAAUAUAUAGUUUUAUUUUUAUUAAAAAUAUAUAUAGCUUUUAUUAAAAUUUUAAAUAAUAUCAUUUUUAUUUUUUUUCAUACGUUUUUUUUAGUGCUUUGAAUUACAAGUUUAAAAAAUCCAACUGUAAGGAAUGCCAGAUGCUUCUAGAAUAUGAGCAUAGCUGAGAAGUGGUCGAAAAGGUUGUCAUCUCCGUCGUUAUAUAUCACAAAUUGGCUAGCCUGGCUGUUGGGGAUCCAUUCUUUAAAUUAGGACGUUUAAAAAAUAAGAAAUUUGGAAAUAAUUUUUUAAAAAUAUUACUUUAUUGAUAAAAUUAAUAAAUUUAAUUAUAUAUCAUAAAUGAUAUCAAUCUACUAGCAUGAGAAAUUUUCCCCGUCCAUGUCAGCAAAUGUCAAGACAGUUUCACGAGGAUAAUCUCAAUGAGAACAGAACGGAUAUUUAUUAUUUUUUAAAUAUAUAAAUUUAUUUAAUAUUGAUAAUAUCUGAAUUUAUUAAAUAUUUAUUUAAAUUUAAAUUUAUUUAGAUAAAUAUUAUUUGUUUAAUUAUUUGUUUAUUUAAAUUUUUAGUCAAAAUAAAAAACAAAAAUUUUAUUUAAAAUUUAUGUUCACUUUUAAUUACUAAUAAAUAAAACUUAUUUUUUAAGAUUGAAACUUUUUACAAAUAUAAAAUUUUAUAUAUUAUAUAUAUAUAUAUAUAAAUAGAUAAUAAAUUUAUAUAUGAAUUCUUAUAUCAGUUACUAUUUAUUAAAAUUUAGAUAAAUUUAAAUAUUAAAUAUUUAAAAAAUAUUAUUGUAUCCAUUCUGAAUUUAUUAUGAAUAAUAAAUUUUUUAUCUAAAUUUAUUAAUUAUCUAUUUAUAAUUAUUUAAAUUUGAUAUAAAUAAAUCGAAUAAUAACAAAUUUGUGUUUAUUUAUUAUUUAUUACCAUCCUAAUCUCAGACAGCCUUUUAACUAUUUUAGUUUAGGUUGUGUGAUGGCGCUUUUCAUGAGGCAAUCAUUCAUACGGCAUGUUUGAGCUGAUGUCCCCAUGCUUCUUCUCAAGUUUGGCUGUAUUCCCAUGGGAGAUCAAAGUUGGUCUUUUUUAGAAUGAUUUGAUGAAUCUCAUGUAUAAAUAUUAUUCACAAUAAGAUAAUUUACAAUGAUGGAUUGAUAAAAAUAAUAGGAGUUCAAUUUCAAAACUAAAUAUAUAAUCACAAUUGUGUUCCAGAGCUCCAAAGAAUGUGAAGUUUCAAAUUAAACCAUAAGAAGUGAGUUAAUUAUAGUUACCGUUCCUAUCGAGUUUUGAGUUAAAAGAGUAAAAUUUUAAAAUCAUAAAAAUUAAAAAAAUAACGGUUAAAAAGAUAAAAAUUAAAAAAUUAAAAUUUUUUUUAAACUUUACGUUUUCGAUGCUCAAAUUAAAAAUUGAUAAAAAAAUAAAAAAAAUGAAACGUGCAAAUAAUACCUAAAUAACUCUAUUUAUAGUUAAAGAUAAAAAAUUUUGAGACGAUUUAAGCAAUUUAAGAUCAAUUUUAUGAUUAAGAUGAUUUAGUAAGUCGAAUUGAUAUGAUCAAUAAUCAUUCACUUAAAAAAUGAUAAAUUAGCAUAAAAAAAUUUUAAAAUAAAUUAAUGAAAUGAUUAAAUUGAUAUAAUAUUAUACGUAUUAAAUCGAUUAACAGCUACUAUUAUCAAAUUAUCUCAUGCAAACAAGUAGAGAUACAAAAUAAUCAUCUGGAAUGUCCUUUGCCCUUUCCCUUUGCUCAUGAAAUCCAUCAGAGGCAGGCCCUGCAAGAGAAUCCUGGGGCUGCAGCAUUUGUAAAUUGGUUUUGAGGUGAAUUCUGCACCAUCACUAGAAAUGACAAUGUGUCAUAUUGGAGUUGAUUUUUAUUUAUUUCGAGCUUAAUUUUAUAUAAUAAAAAAUUAAAAAUUUGAAAAUAUUAUUUUUAUAUCAAAUUUAAUUUGUAUAUAUAUAAAAACUAAAAUUAAGUUGAUUUGAUUUAAAAUUAAUAAAAUAUUUUUAAAAUAUAAAAUAUAAAUAAAUAAAAAAUUAAAUAAAUAAAAAAUAUUUUAUAUAUAUCGAAUCAAAUUAGAAUUGAUAUACUUAAAACUUAAUUUUGAUUUUUUUCAAAAAAAAUUGAUGUAAUCUAAAUUGAUUUAAAAAUCAAUUUUAAAAUUUUUUUAUAAAAUCACAUCGAAUUAAAAUAGAUAAAUUCAAAAUAAAUUGUUAACCUUAAUAAUCACCCUAUAAAAAAGAAACCUAUAAAAAAAGAAAGGAUUUGAGAACCUUGAUAGUAACCGUUUCAAAAGACAAUGGAGCUCCACCUGCAAUGCGAUGAAAAGACACAAAAGACUUGGAUUUCAAACCAAGUUCGCCUUCCUCUUUCAAUAGGCUUUGCCUCCACUCCUUUGAAACCCAACAAAAAAAAAAUAAUAAUAGAGCAUUGCAAGACAAAACAAAAAUAGGGAAGAGAUGACAGAAAUUGUCAGAUGAGAUAUCAAGUCCCCCGACAGAAUCUCAGUACUCAGGGCCAAGUGUUAGCGUCAUGCAACUUCAUGUCCGUGUUGUUCAGAACCCACAUUUGACAAUUUUAAAUAUAAUAUAAUAAUAUAAUAAAAAAAAGUUAUAUGAAAAAUAUAACAAUAAUAUAAUUUAAAUUUAAUAAAAUUUGAUUUAAUUGAUAUAUUUGAAUUUUUAUUUACAAAAUUUAAAUUCCAAUCUCGAUGUUAUCAAUUUUUAUUAGUAAAUGAUUUAUAAAUUUAAUAUAAAUUUUUUAUGAAAUUUGCCAUUUGUGAUUAUUUUUAAAUUAAAAAUCUAUCCUCAUUUUAAAAUUUUAAUUUACCAAAAAAAAAAAGCAAAAUUCUUAUAUGAACUUUAAAAAAUUAAAAAUAUAUUUUAUAUCUAAUAUAUUAAUAAAAAUUAUAAUAUAAUAUAUUUUAUAUUUUAUAUUUAUUAAAUAUGAAAUAAUUGAAUACCAACAACACCUGCCCUCUUCCAUUGCUCCUGCAAUACUAACACGUGAUAGAGAUACGUCAUACAACCAAAUCCUGAAGGGCACGUGGGAUCCAUCUGGUCAGGUGGUCAAGUUGGAUCUCUCUUAUUACAUGGUCCCAAACGCGGGGUCACGUGACGGAGAUCCUGCGAAAUUCUCUUCGAAUCACUUGGUCAGAUACAUUUCAACGGUCGGUGAUAUAGAUUUAAGUAAAAGUGAAAAUAAUAAUAAUAAUUCAUAAUUUUUUUUUCAAAAUGUUAAUAGCAAAUAUUUAAUUCUAACCAAGAUAAUUCAAUUACAGAAAAAAUAUCAAAAUUUUAACAAUAAUUCAAUUACAUAGAAAACAUCAUAUUUUUUGUCUGUUAUCUGCUUACAUAUUCUUUCUCAUGGUGAUAAUAUUUCAGCAAUUGUCUUACCAGAUUAAAGCCAUUUUCUUGUAUUUUUUUAUGUAUCUAGAGCUACUGAAAAUGAAAUAAAGAUCAAAAAAGAUUUUUAAACAGAAGUUAAACACAAGUUUAAACAAAAGUUCUUGCUGUUACAUUACAUAGGAAUUUAAACAGAAGUUGCAGCUUCAUCAUGUUUCUCUCUAGCUUGGUUUUUCCUCUAAUGAGAACACGCGUGCAGGAGAGGGGCAUUGAUAUUUCCUUUUUAAAGACCUUAGAGACUCACUUCUCUAUCAAAAAUCCAACUGAAUGGAAUACUAGGUGCUUGCUCGGCCCUUUCUUGAGCUCUCUCCUCCAGCCUUCUAAUUCUUGGAGCAAGUCCACACACAAAGUCCUGAGCUUUACGCCCCUCAGCUGAAAGUCCAGUUUGGUCCUUCACCUUCCAUCUGUCAACCAGGUACUCUACUAUAUCAGCAUAGUCCUUGGCAGUGUAAACCCCAAGUCUUUGGGCAACAGCUGAGUAGUGGUUGAAAAGGUUGUCAUCUCGACCAUCAUAGCUGAACUCAGCUGGCAUGGUGAUU
rnacentral:lncRNA from 1 species